AGGAGGGUGCAAAAUCAAAAGAAAUCAAAAGAAAUCUGAAUCAAAAGAAAGAAAAAGAAAGAAAGAAACAAAAGAAAAAUAGCACCCUCAAAGUCCCAAGUUGGCUGAUGCUGAAUUCAAUCGAAAAGAAGAGAUCAACUACCAUGUGUCAUGGUCAGUCAUAUCAGCAGAGAGUGAAGAAAGCAUUCGACAAGAAGGUCAAGCCUCGUGUG
rnacentral:lncRNA from 1 species